AAAAUUUCCAAUUCACCAAACCGAUCUGAGCUCUUUUUGGAUAUGUUGUGUGCUCACAUUGAGGCGAUUUUGGGAACAUAAUUUUUGUGGGGUUCCGAUGCUGUCAUUUAUUUUUGUGAUUUGUAAAAAUUGUAUGUAUGUUUUCCUAUUUGAGAGAUAAUUGGAUUAGCUUAAUUGGAGCUCAAUUAUCUCUCAAACACAAUGGCUU